rnacentral:rRNA from 1 species
UGCUGGAGGUAUCAGAAGUGCGAAUGCUGACAUAAGUAACGAUAAAGCGGGUGAAAAGCCCGCUCGCCGGAAGACCAAGGGUUCCUGUCCAACGUUAAUCGGGGCAGGGUGAGUCGACCCCUAAGGCGAGGCCGAAAGGCGUAGUCGAUGGGAAACAGGUUAAUAUUCCUGUACUUGGUGUUACUGCGAAGGGGGGACGGAGAAGGCUAUGUUGGCCGGGCGACGGUUGUCCCGGUUUAAGCGUGUAGGCUGGUUUUCCAGGCAAAUCCGGAAAAUCAAGGCUGAGGCGUGAUGACGAGGCACUACGGUGCUGAAGCAACAAAUGCCCUGCUUCCAGGAAAAGCCUCUAAGCAUCAGGUAACAUCAAAUCGUACCCCAAACCGACACAGGUGGUCAGGUAGAGAAUACCAAGGCGCUUGAGAGAACUCGGGUGAAGGAACUAGGCAAAAUGGUGCCGUAACUUCGGGAGAAGGCACGCUGAUAUGUAGGUGAAGUCCCUCGCGGAUGGAGCUGAAAUCAGUCGAAGAUACCAGCUGGCUGCAACUGUUUAUUAAAAACACAGCACUGUGCAAACACGAAAGUGGACGUAUACGGUGUGACGCCUGCCCGGUGCCGGAAGGUUAAUUGAUGGGGUCAGCGCAAGCGAAGCUCUUGAUCGAAGCCCCGGUAAACGGCGGCCGUAACUAUAACGGUCCUAAGGUAGCGAAAUUCCUUGUCGGGUAAGUUCCGACCUGCACGAAUGGCGUAAUGAUGGCCAGGCUGUCUCCACCCGAGACUCAGUGAAAUUGAACUCGCUGUGAAGAUGCAGUGUACCCGCGGCAAGACGGAAAGACCCCGUGAACCUUUACUAUAGCUUGACACUGAACAUUGAGCCUUGAUGUGUAGGAUAGGUGGGAGGCUUUGAAGUGUGGACGCCAGUCUGCAUGGAGCCGACCUUGAAAUACCACCCUUUAAUGUUUGAUGUUCUAACGUGGACCCGUGAUCCGGGUUGCGGACAGUGUCUGGUGGGUAGUUUGACUGGGGCGGUCUCCUCCUAAAGAGUAACGGAGGAGCACGAAGGUUGGCUAAUCCUGGUCGGACAUCAGGAGGUUAGUGCAAUGGCAUAAGCCAGCUUGACUGCGAGCGUGACGGCGCGAGCAGGUGCGAAAGCAGGUCAUAGUGAUCCGGUGGUUCUGAAUGGAAGGGCCAUCGCUCAACGGAUAAAAGGUACUCCGGGGAUAACAGGCUGAUACCGCCCAAGAGUUCAUAUCGACGGCGGUGUUUGGCACCUCGAUGUCGGCUCAUCACAUCCUGGGGCUGAAGUAGGUCCCAAGGGUAUGGCUGUUCGCCAUUUAAAGUGGUACGCGAGCUGGGUUUAGAACGUCGUGAGACAGUUCGGUCCCUAUCUGCCGUGGGCGCUGGAGAACUGAGGGGGGCUGCUCCUAGUACGAGAGGACCGGAGUGGACGCAUCACUGGUGUU